AUUGAACGCUGGCGGCAGGCCUAACACAUGCAAGUCGAACGAGUGGCGGACGGGUGAGUAAUGUCUGGGAAACUGCCUGAUGGAGGGGGAUAACUACUGGAAACGGUAGCUAAUACCGCAUACCAUCAGAUGUGCCCAGAUGGGAUUAGCUAGUAGGUGGGGUAACGGCUCACCUAGGCGACGAGCCCGAGCUGGUCUGAGAGGAAUACCAGCCAAACUGGAACUGAGACACGGCCCAGACUCCUACGGGAGGCAGCAGUGGGGAAGAUUGCACAAUGGGCGCAAGCCUGAUGCAGCCAUGCCGCGUGUAUGAAGAAGGCCUUCGGGUUGUAAAGUACUUUCAGCGGGGAGGCGUUACCCGCAGAAGAAGCACCGGCUAACUCCGUGCCAGCAGCCGCGGUAAUAC
rnacentral:rRNA from 1 species